UAAUGGGCCACACACAUAGCAAGAAUGGCAGUAGCCGGAUUGAGUGGAGAGUGUCAUUGCAGAGAUAAAGGCUCCUUCCUCCUUUCUUCCUUUCUUCCACACUUCCAGGACAUACUUGACCUGCUCAUCCUUUCUCUUUGUGAGUGAAGUUUGGAAGACCCAUGUGCUCUCUAGAAACUUGAUCCAUUUAUCAACAACAUUCGCUUCCACUGUAUAUGAAGUAAUUGCUCGCAGCAUCUCCUCUUCCUAAUAUCAGAAAACUUCAUGACAAUAAUAAAAAUAACAAGGUGCAUUACAUCAUAUUAAUAAUUUUAGGCUAAAUUUUAC
rnacentral:sRNA from 1 species